rnacentral:tRNA from 1 species
GGAGAGGUGUCCGAGUGGCUUAAGGAGCUGGCCUCGAAAUCCAGUGUCUCCGUAAGGAACCGUGGGUUCGAAUCCCACCCUUUCCG